UACGAAGGGGGCAAGCGUUGUUCGGAAUUACUGGGCGUAAAGGGCUCGUAGGCGGCCAACUAAGUCAGACGUGAAAUCCCUCAGCUUAACUGGGGAACUGCGUCUGAUACUGGAUGGCUUGGAUUCGGGAGAGGAAUGCGGAAUUCCAGGUGUAGCGGUGAAAUGCGUAGAUAUCUGGAGGAACACCGGUGGCGAAGGCGGCAUUCUGGACCGACAUUGACGCUGAGGAGCGAAAGCCAGGGGAGCAAACGGG
rnacentral:rRNA from 1 species